UUCAGAAGCCAGAUUGGAUUUGUAAAUAAGUCACUGCCCAGAGAUUUCGCACUCAUUUUGUGAGGACUUUAUGAUAUGAGUUUUUGUGGGAAGAAGCGUGUGGUGUAGGUCUUGUAAGGGACGGACGGGCAGAAGGGCUGAUUGGUGGGAUUUCAGGGUGGUCGGAGAGGAGUUGACUGGACUGUAGAGGAUUUGGGUAAAGGGAGAAGAGCAGGCAUCGGUUGGAAGGGAUUCGGCUGGGAGGAUUAGGAGCUCUGAAGUAUUAAGCGUGAAAGCCAGGAAGAGAACUCAUUUUAACGCAAUCAAACGACGACGAUGGAGGCUGCUGGGUUUCGCUGGAGGUGAUCGCAGAGUUCAGCGGAAUUUGCGUAGAUUUAAUCAGAGGUUUUCCGGAGCUUCGACGAAGCCGAGGGAGAUUUACCUACAUCACAUGUUUUGGGGAGCAAAAUGAAAAAGAUGAAGCUGCCGACAACAUUAUGCAAGGCAAGGAAUAAAUUGAUUUGGUGUUUUUGCACUUUGGAAGAAAAAAUAGUCGGUUAGUUGUCGGAGCUUUGUAGAGACUAAGGCUUCAUUUGGGACGACUUUUUUAUUGAUUCUUAUAACGGAGUUUUAGUAUAAAAAUUCUUAGUUUCAAGAAGCAAUAAAAAAGACGUCCCAAACGAAGCCUGAGUAGUACAUCACAACUAUUUUGCAUACUAUGUGAUCGUAAUAAUUUUCAAACUCCAUAGUUAUAUAAGCAAAAUUAGAUCAUACAUUA